CUGAUGAGAUAAUUAAAUGGCCGCAGUAUAUUAACUGUGCAAAGGUAGCAUAAUCAUUAGCUUUUUAAUUGAAGGCUUGUAUGAAUGAUUGGACGAGGUAUAAGCUGUCUCAUUGUUAUAAAUAUAAUUUUAUUUUUUAGUAAAAAAGCUGAGAUUUAAUUAAAAGACGAGAAGACCCUAUAGAUUUUUAUUUUUAUUAUAUUAAUAUUAAUAGGAUAUUUUAUAUUUUAAUUUAAUUAAUAAUUUUGUUGGGGCGAUAUUGAAAUUUAACAAACUUUUGAUUUUUUUAUUACAUUGAUAUAUGAAAAAAUGAUCCUUUAAUAAAGAUUAAAAAUUUAAAUUACCUUAGGGAUAACAGCGUAAUUAUUUUGAAGAGUUCAUAUCGAUAAAAUAGUUUGCGACCUCGAUGUUGGAUUAAGAUAAAUUUUGGGUGUAGCAGCUCAAUUAUUAAGUCUGUUCGACUUUUAGUUUCUUACAUGAUCUG
rnacentral:rRNA from 1 species